AGGAAAGACAGAGAAUUUGGAUUUUUCUUCUUCAUAGAGUUUUGGGAAGGCUGAGGCAAUCGCUGCUGAAGUCAGUAUUGUAAUGGUGAAUCGAGAUUUUUAUUGAAGUGGGUUUGAAUACUCUUGACUGUUUUGUGAAAUCGAGUUACGUCUGUGAUUGAAGGAUUAAAAGGGCGUCUAUAGGAUUGAGUAUGCAGAGUGAAUGAAAUUUAUUGGGUUAAUCUAACAAGACAGUCAGUGGAUACAAGAUCGUAAGUACAAAGCUGUAUUGAAGAUUA
rnacentral:lncRNA from 1 species